GAGACUGUAUAAUGCACUCUCAGUCAAGGCAUCAUCUACAUAGGUUGCCAUCAGAUGGAGACUCAGUGUAAACAUAGAAAAAGAUGCUUAAAUAUCUGUUAUAAGAGCCAGAAGGACAGAGAUCAGAGAAGCUACCACUGAAAGUCAGAGAGUGUCUUGCAAGUCAGAGGAGUCAAUGUUCAAGUCGUAACCAAGUACCAAGAUGGCUAACUCCUUGUUCUGGCUAUGAAAUAAACUUCCAUUUUGCUACCUUACUGAAUUCUAACUUGUUAUACAUUCAGUCACACUUUCAGGUAAGUCUAUUUUGAACUCAUUAUUCUGACCACUUUGUUGAUACCUAUGCAGUUGCCAUCCUAUUUUUAUUAUUAUGAGUUUAUUGUAAGUUUUGGUAUCUACUUAGGCAAAG
ensembl:lncRNA